rnacentral:rRNA from 1 species
GAGUUUGAUCAUGGCUCAGAUUGAACGCUGGCGGCAUGCCUAACACAUGCAAGUCGAACGGUAACAGGUCUUCGGAUGCUGACGAGUGGCGGACGGGUGAGUAAUGCGUAGGAAUCUGUCUUUUAGUGGGGGACAACCCAGGGAAACUUGGGCUAAUACCGCAUGAGCCCUGAGGGGGAAAGCGGGGGAUCUUCGGACCUCGCGCUAAGAGAGGAGCCUACGUCCGAUUAGCUAGUUGGCGGGGUAAAGGUCCACCAAGGCGACGAUCGGUAGCUGGUCUGAGAGGACGACCAGCCACACUGGGACUGAGACACGGCCCAGACUCCUACGGGAGGCAGCAGUGGGGAAUUUUUCGCAAUGGGGGCAACCCUGACGAAGCAAUGCCGCGUGGAUGAAGAAGGCCUUCGGGUUGUAAAGUCCUUUCGUGGAGGACGAAAAGGUGGGUUCUAAUACAAUCUGCUAUUGACGUGAAUCCAAGAAGAAGCACCGGCUAACUCCGUGCCAGCAGCCGCGGUAAUACGGGGGGUGCAAGCGUUAAUCGGAAUCACUGGGCGUAAAGGGUGCGUAGGCGGUACGUUAGGUCUGUCGUGAAAUC